GGGAUUGCCCUAGUAACGGCGAGUGAAGCGGCAACAGCUCAAAUUUGAAAUCUGGCGCAAGCCCGAGUUGUAAUUUGUAGAGGAUGCUUCUGGGUAGCGACCGAUCUAAGUUCCUUGGAACAGGACGUCAUAGAGGGUGAGAAUCCCGUAUGUGACCGGCCCGCACCCUUUACGUAGCUCCUUCGACGAGUCGAGUUGUUUGGGAAUGCAGCUCUAAAUGGGAGGUAAAUUUCUUCUAAAGCUAAAUACCGGCCAGAGACCGAUAGCGCACAAGUAGAGUGAUCGAAAGAUGAAAAGUACUUUGGAAAGAGAGUUAAAAAGCACGUGAAAUUGUUGAAAGGGAAGCGCCUGCAACCAGACUUCGYGGCAGUGUUCCGCCGGUCUUCUGACCGGUUCAUUCUCUGUCGCGAGGCCAUCAUCGUCUGGGCCCGCCGGAUAAGACCUUAGGAAUGUAGCUCACCUUCGGGGGAGUGUUAUAGCCUAGGGUGAUGCGGCGAGGCUCGGGCGAGGUCCGCGCUUCGGCAAGGAUGAUGGCGUAAUGGUUGUCGGCGGCCCGUCUUGAAACACGGACCAAGGAGUCUAACAUCUAUGCGAGUGUUCGGGUGUCAAACCCCUACGCGUAAUGAAAGUGAACGGAGGUGGGAACCGCAAGGUGCACCAUCGACCGAUCCUGAUGUCCUCGGAUGGAUUUGAGUAAGAGCAUAGCUGUUGGGACCCGAAAGAUGGUGAACUAUGCCUGAAUAGGGUGAAGCCAGAGGAAACUCUGGUGGAGGCUCGCAGCGGUUCUGACGUGCAAAUCGAUCGUCAAAUUUGGGUAUAGGGGCG
rnacentral:rRNA from 1 species